UACGGAGGGAGCUAGCGUUGUUCGGACUUACUGGGCGUAAAGCGCACGUCGGCGGCUUUGUAAGUUAGAGGUGAAAGCCUGGAGCUCAACUCCAGAACUGCCUUUAAGACUGCAUCGCUUGAAUCCAGGAGAGGUGAGUGGAAUUCCGAGUGUAGAGGUGAAAUUCGUAGAUAUUCGGAAGAACACCAGUGGCGAAGGCGGCUCACUGGACUGGUAUUGACGCUGAGGUGCGAAAGCGUGGGGAGCAAACAGG
rnacentral:rRNA from 1 species